rnacentral:rRNA from 1 species
GCCCAGACUCCUACGGGAGGCAGCAGUGGGGAAUAUUGCACAAUGGGGGAAACCCUGAUGCAGCGACGCCGCGUGAGCGAUGAAGUAUUUCGGUAUGUAAAGCUCUAUCAGCAGGGAAGAAAAUGACGGUACCUGACUAAGAAGCCCCGGCUAACUACGUGCCAGCAGCCGCGGUAAUACGUAGGGGGCAAGCGUUAUCCGGAUUUACUGGGUGUAAAGGGAGCGUAGACGGCUGUGCAAGCCAGAUGUGAAAGCCCGGGGCUCAACCCCGGGACUGCAUUUGGAACUGUGUGGCUGGAGUGUCGGAGAGGCAGGCGGAAUUCCUAGUGUAGCGGUGAAAUGCGUAGAUAUUAGGAGGAACACCAGUGGCGAAGGCGGCCUGCUGGACGAUGACUGACGUUGAGGCUCGAAAGCGUGGGGAGCAAACAGGAUUAGAUACCCUUGUA